AUGAUUGCGGGCAGCGGGACGCGCGCGCACGCUCGGGCCCGGCUCGGGGACCCGUGGCUGACCGACGGUCCCUGCAAUCCCCGCAGCCUGGUGCCCACCCGGCCCCGGGCGUCGCGGACAGCGGCCAGGCUCUCCAGGCUCGUCCCCGCGGGGAACAGUGUGCGCUGCGGACCUCUCGACGCGGCCCCGGGACAGCGCUCGGGCCGACAGUGGCAAAGGGCUUCCCCCAGGGCGGAGUUCGCGCAUGGGCGACCCCGCGGUGGCUUCCAGGACACUGCGGGCUCCUCGGAGCGAGGGGUGCCCAGAGGGGUGGGAGUCGGGACCCGGCACACGGGAGCCGGCCUGCGGAGGCAGGGGUCAGCGCACAGUGCCGGGAGAUGUAAGAGGGGCGCGCAAGGUGCCUGGAGGAGUUGGGUUGGGGGGUUGUUCACGGUGCCCCGGGAGGCGUGGGAUGGGUGGGGACGCGGUGCCCGGAGCCGCUGCCCAGCUCCGAGCGCGCUCUCUUCCUUCCCAGUGGAAACAACUUCCUGCUUCCCCGACUCAGGGCACAGGAGCUGUGGGGAGAAGUUCAAGGCCGCAGCUUUGCUCUCUCGGAGCCCGAUGGCGACACUGCUGGCCCCGGGCCACACGAUUCCUUCCCAGGCCCUCCGGGUGGUCGGGACCGGCUGGCCUCUAGGGUCCGGACACGGGUUAGAAUGCCAAGGAGGCCGCGGCGUCUUUUCCCGCCCGCUCCACAGAGGCGCCCGAGUGGUUCCCAAACCGCAGAGGGGCCGGCCUGGGCCUCCGGCUCUCGGGGACGCACGCGGACACAGAGUCACUAUUCGGACACAGAGUCAAUAUUCGCAGACCCGGUCCCCCUGCCCAAGCAUGCCCUGGCUCAGAGCCGCAUGGAGCUGGCUGUCCCCAGACGCCUGCGACGGCCCGUUGGCGGCCAGGGCCCGAGAGAAACAAGGCCUCCCGGGUCCCAUCCCAAUGUCUCUCUGUGCUUGUCUCCCCCCAACCCCCCGCCGCCGGCCUUGGCAUUCUAACCAGUGUCCCUUGACGUCACAUCUCGCCAUUUCUGCCAACCAAUUGAAACUUGUCCGUUGUCAUAAAAAUAUAUAUACUUUUUAUGCCAUUGGUAAAUUCAAAAGUUCCUCGUGUGCCCUGCUUCCCAGGAAACUUCAUUUCACGUUGGAUUAG
rnacentral:lncRNA from 1 species